GGGGAUUUGGUCUAGUGGUAUGACAUCUGUUUUGCAUUGUCUCAAAUGAUAAUUACAGAAGGUCGGGGGUUCAAUUCCCUCAAUCUCCA